CUCAAUUUCACCUUAUAGAACCAAUUCAAAUAUACUCUUAGUGAAGAUAACAAUUACAACUAUAGUCUAUAGGUAUAUUGGUACAUUGCAAGGGAUACAUACAAAUUUAUCUCUGUCUGAAUCUAUCAGUUACAACUAUAGGUAUUGGUAAGGUAACAUUUAAAAUGGUCUCUGUCUUGACAAAUAAAGAAGUUACAGAAAAAGCAAAUGGAAUUAGCCACCAGAAAAAGGAAUCAACCCUUAGGUGUAUAUGAUACAAAAUUACAAAUAGAUCUUCAGAUGCACCAGUCCAAACAAAUUGACAAGCAGCUGCAAUAACAUGUCAGGCCAAUCAU